rnacentral:rRNA from 1 species
GAUGAACGCUGGCGGCGUGCCUAAUACAUGCAAGUCGAGCGAACAGACGAGGAGCUUGCUCCUCUGACGUUAGCGGCGGACGGGUGAGUAACACGUGGAUAACCUACCUAUAAGACUGGGAUAACUUCGGGAAACCGGAGCUAAUACCGGAUAAUAUAUUGAACCGCAUGGUUCAAUAGUGAAAGACGGUUUUGCUGUCACUUAUAGAUGGAUCCGCGCCGCAUUAGCUAGUUGGUAAGGUAACGGCUUACCAAGGCAACGAUGCGUAGCCGACCUGAGAGGGUGAUCGGCCACACUGGAACUGAGACACGGUCCAGACUCCUACGGGAGGCAGCAGUAGGGAAUCUUCCGCAAUGGGCGAAAGCCUGACGCAGCAACGCCGCGUGAGUGAUGAAGGUCUUCGGAUAGUAAAACUCUGUUAUUAGGGAAGAACAAAUGUGUAAGUAACUAUGCACGUCUUGACGGUACCUAAUCAGAAAGCCACGGCUAACUACGUG